rnacentral:rRNA from 1 species
ACGCUGGCGGCGUGCCUAAUACAUGCAAGCAGAACGCUGAAGAGAGGAGCUUGCUCUUCUUGGAUGAGUUGCGAACGGGUGAGUAACGCGUAGGUAACCUGCCUUGUAGCGGGGGAUAACUAUUGGAAACGAUAGCUAAUACCGCAUAACAAUGGAUGACACAUGUCAUUUAUUUGAGAGGGGCAAUUGCUCCACUACAAGAUGGACCUGCGUUGUAUUAGCUAGUAGGUGAGGUAACGGCUCACCUAGGCGACGAUACAUAGCCGACCUGAGAGGGUGAUCGGCCACACUGCGACUGAGACACGGCCCAGACUCCUACGGGAGGCAGCAGUAGGGAAUCUUCGGCAAUGGGGGCAACCCUGACCGAGCAACGCCGCGUGAGUGAAGAAGGUUUUCGGAUCGUAAAGCUCUGUUGUAAGUCAAGAACGAGUGUGAGAGUGGAAAGUUCACACUGUGACGGUAGCUUACCAGAAAGGGACGGCUAACUACGUGCCAGCAGCCGCGGUAAUACGUAGGUCCCGAGCGUUGUCUGGAUUUAUUGGGCGUAAAGCGAGCGCAGGCGGUUUGAUAAGUCUGAAGUUAAAGGCUGUGGCUCAACCAUAGUUCGCUUUGGAAACUGUCAAACUUGAGUGCAGAAGGGGAGAGUGGAAUUCCAUGUGUAGCGGUGAAAUGCGUAGAUAUAUGGAGGAACACCGGUGGCGAAAGCGGCUCUCUGGUCUGUAACUGACGCUGAGGCUCGAAAGCGUGGGGAGCGAGCAGGAUUAGAUACCCUGGUAGUCCACGCCGUAAACGAUGAGUGCUAGGUGUUGGAUCCUUUCCGGGAUUCAGUGCCGCAGCUAACGCAUUAAGCACUCCGCCUGGGGAGUACGACCGCAAGGUUGAAACUCAAAGGAAUUGACGGGGGCCCGCACAA